rnacentral:rRNA from 1 species
CAGAGGUUACUGCUAKCKMGAYUCGACUAAGCCAUGCGAGUUGAAUGUUCUUCGUGAACAUGGCGGACUGCUCAGUAACACGUGGACAACCUACCCUUGGGUCCGGCAUAAUCCUGGGAAACUGGGAAUAAUUCCGGAUAGGUCACCGAUGCUGGAAUGCGCGGUGGCCGAAAGCUCCGGCGCCCGAGGAUGGGUCUGCGGCCUAUCAGGGUUGUAGUGGGUGUAACGUACCUACUAGCCUACGACGGGUACGGGUUGUGAGAGCAAGAGCCCGGAGAUGGAUUCUGAGACACGAAUCCAGGCCCUACGGGGUGCAGCAGGCGCGAAAACUUUACAAUGCGGGAAACCGUGAUAAGGGGAUCUCGAGUGCCAGCAUAUAAUGUUGGCUGUCCAGAUGCCUAAAAAGCAUCUGUUAGCAAGGGCCGGGCAAGACCGGUGCCAGCCGCCGCGGUAACACCGGCGGCCCGAGUGGUAACCGCUAUUAUUGGGUCUAAAGGGUCUGUAGCCGGCCAGGUAAGUCCCUUGGGAAAUCUGGCAGCUCAACUGUCAGGCUGCUAGGGGAUACUGUUUGGCUUGGGACCGGGAGAGGUGAGAGGUACCUUGGGGGUAGGGGUGAAAUCUUGUGAUCCUCGAGGGACCACCAGUGGCGAAGGCGUCUCACCAGAACGGGUCCGACGGUAAGGGACGAAAGCUAGGGGCACGAACCGGAUUAGAUACCCGGGUAGUCCUAGCCGUAAACGAUGCUCGCUAGGUGUCAGUCACGGUGCGACCGUGAUUGGUGCCGUAGGGAAGCCGUGAAGCGAGCCACCUGGGAAGUAUGGCCGCAAGGCUGAAACUUAAAGGAAUUGGCGGGRGMRCWMYRCAWCGGGUGGAGCCUGCGGUUAAUG